CCAGCCAGCGGCGGUAUAUGUAGGGCGCGAGCGUUGUCAGGAAUUAUUGGGCGUAAGAGCUCGUAGGCGGCUUGUCGCGUCGGUUGUGAAAGCCCCGGGUGCUUAACCCCCGGGUCUGCUGUCGAUACGGGCCGGCUAGAGUUCGGUAGGGGAGAUCAGAAAUUCCUGGUGUAGCGGUGAAGUGCGCAGAUAUCAGGGAGGAACACCGGUGGCGAAGGCGGAUCUCUGGGCCGAUACUGACGCUGAGGAGCGAAGCGUGGGGAGCGAACAGGAUUAGAUACCUGGUUGUCCACGCCGUUAACGGUGGGCACUAGGUGUGGGCGACAUUCCAGGUCGUCCGUGCCGCAGCUAACGCAUUAAGUGCCCCGCCUGGGGAGUACGGCCGCAAGGCUAAAACUCAAAGGAAUUGACGGGGGCCCGCACAAGCGGCGGAGCAUGUGGCUUAAUUCGACGCAACGCGAAGAACCUUACCAAGGCUUGACAUACACCGGAAAACCCCGGAGACAGGGUCCCCCUUGUGGUCGG
rnacentral:rRNA from 1 species